GAUCGUAUUAAAAAUUUUGAACAAUUCCAUUCUCUCAUUAUUAAGGAUUUUAGUUAUUUCUGGUUUACUUGAUAAUUUUUUUAAUUGAAAUUUGCCGCCAAUUGCUAAUUCUGUGUCAUGUGACAGCUGUCAGAUGUUUACUUUUUAAAUGACAUAAUAAAAUAGUUAAUGAGCGUGAAUGUGACGGACAUCAGACAAUUUCUAAGUUGUAGAAAAAUGAAAAAAUUAAUUCGAAUAAUGAAAUUUAAAGAAAUACGCGCGCUUAUUUUUCAAUGACCUGAUUACGCAUAUUUUUUUUUUUUUGUUUUUGUUUUUUUUUAUUUACAUUUUAUUAUUUAUUUCAAAUUUUUCAUUUUCCUCAUUGUCAGUUACAUUUACACUCAUAACAGUUAUUGUAUUUUAUCUUGUAGUAAUUAUGUUAAUAUUAAAGUAAAACGUAUUUUUAAACAUAGUACUUAAGUGUCAUAUAUUUUAUAUAUAAAAACAUAUCUCCAAUAAGUAUAUAACAUUUUCAUAACCUCAAUCUACAUAUUUGAUUUAUUGCAAUAAUAGAAGUGACAAAAACUGGGUUAAUAAUUAAGAAAAAUGGUCGGCACAUGUUUUUCAAUGUGUUCAGGAAAAUAAUGACGUCUAAGAGAACGAGAAGGUUUAUUACGCAUUUCAGAGAUCGAUGGAAAACCUAAAAAUCAAAGGCACAAAAAAGCUGAUUUCACUAAAAUAAUGAAAUGUUUUCAAAGAUCCAGUGUAGAGUUUCACUCCAAAAAGGCAUACGCUGGAGCUUAAUUUAUGAAUUAACAUUCAACAGGAUCCGGGCAAUAAAACAAGACAUGAUCAUAUAGAGAUUAGAUUCAACCAAAAGCAUUAAAAUUUUAGAACCAGUUUUUAAAUUUCAUAUUUAUGCUGCUGAAAGAAUACGGAAGAGACCUUUAAGGAAUUUUGUUCACAAAUUGAAUGAUCAGCAUUUACUGGAAUUAAACGAUUAGUCGUCCUGUACGACGAUAUCAAUUAUGCCAGCGCUGACGUUCACGAGGAAAAGAAACCAACGAAUUAAUUGGAAAAAAAAAAAAAAACAAUUUACCAACAACCAUUGAAACUGUAUACCUCUUGCUUUAUGAAUUUGUAAUAAAUUUAUACCAUAAUUUAAAAUGUUACAUAAGUAUUUUUAGCAAUAAUAUUACCAUUCAAGUAAUUGAAUCAAAAUAAAAAAGAAGAGAACCGAAUUUAAAAAAUAUAUAUAUAUAAUGAAAACAAAAAAUGUAAAACAGGUCUAA